UCAGCAGCCGGCCUGAUGGUGACGUUCCUCAAGGACGGCCUGGCCAGUGCUUCCCCCACCCCGCUGCUCGGCUCUGCUGUGGCUGGGUAUGGCAACAACGACACGUUUUUAUGGUCAAGUUUCACACGAACCGUCUCGCUAACACACAGCACAAACGAUGACCCGAAGCAGACACCAGAAAGGAAAAAAACGAGCCGCAGUGCCGGGCGGGCAUUCCGGGCCUUUCUGAAGACGUCCCCAUCCGUGGCUGGAGGACAGCCCGGGCGGCGGCGGGCGGCCUCGGGGCGGGUGCGUCGGGGCAGGGUACGGCGAGCCCGGGGCUUCCCAGGACCGCCAGGCCGCCUGGACGCUGGGGAGGAAUCCCCACUCCGACGCCUGCUAGGAGGGCACCGACCGCGCUCCACUGUGGCCAGGUCGCCGCCGCUCCGGCCGGCCAACGACAAGCUAGCGCGGCGCCUGUGCGCGCGUGACGUCAGCACGCACGGCGCCAGCCUGUGCGCAGGACGUCAGCACGCACGGCGUCGGUACGUGCGCGCCCAGAGGUUCCGCGCGGCGGCAGUGCCAGCGGAGCUUGCGGGUGCGGGUGGGACCGGGUUUCGUCUGUGGGCCCGGGGGCGGCGGGGGCCGCGGAGUGAGGGGCCGGCUGAGCCCACCACCUCGCUGGGCCCUCCCUGGCGCCCGGCCUCGGGCGGCGGCGAGCGCUCGGGUCGCCAUGUCGUACAUGCUCCCGCACCUGCACAACGGCUGGCAGGUGGACCAGGCCAUCCUCUCGGAGGAGGACCGCGUGGUCGUCAUCCGCUUCGGCCACGACUGGGACCCCACCUGCAUGAAGAUGGACGAGGUCCUGUACAGCAUCGCCGAGAAGGUGGUGGCAUAAACAUCAGCUGGUGUUCAGAUCCUGCUGCCGGCAGCUCGAGGCUAGGAUGGCUGGCGAUGUGAGGGCCUUUGUCUCAUCACAUCCAGGCAGAGCCCAGCAAGAUGCUCUUAGCUAGGAAACAGAUUUUAUGUGUUAAUGUUAAAAAUUUUGCAGUUAUUUAUCUUGUGGAUAUUACAGAAGUACCUGACUUCAACAAAAUGUAUGAGUUAUACGAUCCGUGUACUGUCAUGUUUUUCUUCAGGAACAAGCACAUCAUGAUUGACUUGGGGACUGGCAACAACAACAAGAUUAACUGGGCCAUGGAGGACAAGCAGGAGAUGGUGGACAUCAUAGAGACUGUGUACCGUGGGGCCCGCAAAGGCCGCGGCCUGGUGGUGUCCCCCAAGGACUACUCCACCAAGUACCGCUACUGAGGCACCUCAGUCUGCGCGGAUAAACGUCCUGGAGCCCUUUUUGUGUGGAAAUGUUUUAAGCUAUUUAAAGCCUUUGGAAAAUACAGGAAGCUCGAGGGCUGGAGGACCUCUGAGAUGGAAUUGAUUACAUGGUCUUAACUCACCAAAAUAAACAAGCACGUGGUGAGAGGAGCAGGCCUACUUGUUUGUUCUCAGGAAUCUUGAUGAAUAGAUGACUGAUUUUUCCUAGUCAAAGUUAAUUCCUAUCCUUGGAGUAAAACGAAGGUGUUUAUCCUGU